rnacentral:rRNA from 1 species
AACGAACGCUGGCGGCAGGCCUAACACAUGCAAGUCGAACGCCCCGCAAGGGGAGUGGCAGACGGGUGAGUAACGCGUGGGAACCUACCUUUCGGUGCGGAAUAACUUCGGGAAACCAAAGCUAAUACCGCAUACGCCCCACGGGGGAAAGAUUUAUCGCCGAUAGAUGGGCCCGCGUCGGAUUAGCUAGUUGGUGAGGUAACGGCUCACCAAGGCUACGAUCCGUAGCUGGUCUGAGAGGAUGAUCAGCCACACUGGGACUGAGACACGGCCCAGACUCCUACGGGAGGCAGCAGUGGGGAAUAUUGGACAAUGGGCGCAAGCCUGAUCCAGCCAUGCCGCGUGAGUGAAGAAGGCCUUAGGGUUGUAAAGCUCUUUUAGUGGGGACGAUAAUGACGGUACCCACAGAAUAAGCCCCGGCUAACUUCGUGCCAGCCGCCGCUGUAA